UACGGAGGGGGCUAGCGUUGUUCGGAAUUACUGGGCGUAAAGCGCACGUAGGCGGCUUUGUAAGUUAGAGGUGAAAGCCCAGGGCUUAACCCUGGAAUUGCCUUUAAGACUGCAUCGCUAGAAUCGUGGAGAGGUGAGUGGAAUUCCGAGUGUAGAGGUGAAAGUUCGUAGAUAUUCGGAAGAACACCAGUGGCGAAGGCGACUCACUGGACACGGUAUUGACGCUGAGGUGCGAAAGCGUGGGGAGCAAACAGG
rnacentral:rRNA from 1 species